rnacentral:lncRNA from 1 species
CCGAAGAAGAGAAUUUUUAACUAAGAAGUCACUUCUAAAGUUCAAAUGGACAAAAAACAUAUAGUGAUGGCCAGAAAAAUUCUAAACAGUCACGAUAACGAACAUCGGCUCUCCCAGAUCUGCUCCAUGGAUCAGAAUCAGUUCCACAUGGGGUCAAAGAUUUAAUGUAAAAAAAUAAAACCACUGAAGUCAGAGGAUAAAGGAGAAUGAGGCUGCCGUCUAAGCAAGACACAAAACCAAGAGGAAGCCGCUCACCACAGAAAUGGGGUGACGACUCAGUUCCCAUGACUGAGCAGAGCCCUGAUACGUGACGACCAUCAGCUCCGUGGCCGGCCCAGGGAGGGCUCCUGCCCUGGUCCUCGAUGGCUUCCCUGCUGACCAGGGUGCUCCGAGCCUGCUUUGUACGUCUCCUGGCCCAGGUCUGGAGUCAACCAUGUCUCCAAGGAGCUCUGGGUCCCGCUGGUAGGAAGUGGUCUUUAGGGACCACACUCGGGGUGCUGGGGUGCUCACUGCCCUGAGAAGGUCAUAUGUCUGGGCCUUCUCCGUAGUCAGAGCUCAGAGCUACACAUACAGAGACGGAACCCCUCAUGAGUCCACACCGGAACCCCCAGCUCCAAGACUGCGUCUUUCAACAGAACCUCUUCGUAUGACAUCUUGUCUCCUUUCUUCCACACCAAGGGUGUGGGUCUCGAAGACACUGGGGAUGGUAGAACUAGGACCUCCCAAAAUUUCUCACACUUCAUCCUCACGGCACACGCGGCACCUCAGACUCCAAUGCCAGUGCCACCACAGCCACGCUUCUAGGAGACGGGACAGGAGCUUCCAGGCCCUCCCUUCACCUGCACUCUACAAUUCUUCAAUGCACCCCUCCAGUCCUUACGUCAAAAUGGAACCACCUUGAAGAGGCUCCCAGCGGCCAAGGCCCAGUAAACACUAGAAUUCCCAGGCACAGAGAGGAGAGCGAGAGGGGCCGCAGAGCAGAGAGGGCCAUGCGCCCCACGCGGGAUCAGGGUCCCGCUGGAGACACCCACGUCUUCGUGAGAGAGGACAUGUUUUCCCAAACCCAAACGAGGCCCCACACUGAGAGCGGAGCUCCUGCUCUGCCAUUGGGCCACUUCUGCGGACUUCCCAAGACCCUCCCCGGGAGAGUGGCUGCACGAGGUGGGAAGGGCAGUUUUACGGCUCCGCACAGUUAGAGAUUAACUCACUGAUAAGGCCCACGCAGGACUUCACCAGCAGGGUUUCUCAGCCACCACCCUUGGCCAUCACUUCGUUCCGCCAUAGUCAACUCCUUCCUCAAACACCCUGCACCUUUAUGGCCCCUCACUCUGCACUUUUAUAGCCCCUCUGCACUUUUAUGGGACGCACUGGCCAUCUGUUUGAGAUGCUGCUUUCACACUUACAAUACCCCCCUUGGCCUUGCGGCAGCAUGAAUCUGUCUCUGUUCUUUGCAACUGCCCAAUUAAAACAAUGACGUUUCCAGAGAAAUGCUACAGCCUUCUCAAGGCGGGCUCUUCCCUUUUGCCAAAAGACCUGCUGGUCCCACACCUGCAGGGGUCAGGUAGGGUGGUCAGUGUUGGAGCAACCGGGAAGGGGGUGACCUGGGGACCCAGGAGGUGAGCCCAGCCACAGGUGCCCGUGACCGACCCAGAGCACCGUGGGGCAGUAAAUGGGUGAUGUGUUCCACCAAGCAGAGAGAUGGUGUUUCUGUCCUUACACGCAGGAGUUACACAUUGUUACACAUUCUUUAAGGAGAGCCUGUGGCUGCACUACUGGGAAUUUACUAGAAACCAGCGAAUUGUGCACUCUAAUUGGGUAAAUUCUUUAGUGUGUGAAUUGCAUCUCAAUAAGGCUGUUAAAAAAAUAAAAAAUCAAUUAAAAAUGUUCAAGAGUUCAGCUGCUAAAAACCUUGAAAGCUG